GUGGGUAGUUUGACUGGGGCGGUCUCCUCCCAAAGCGUAACGGAGGAGCACGAAGGUUAGCUAAUCCUGGUCGGACAUCAGGAGGUUAGUGCAAUGGCAUAAGCUAGCUUGACUGCGAGCGUGACGGCGCGAGCAGGUGCGAAAGCAGGUCAUAGUGAUCCGGUGGUUCUGAAUGGAAGGGCCAUCGCUCAACGGAUAAAAGGUACUCCGGGGAUAACAGGCUGAUACCGCCCAAGAGUUCAUAUCGACGGCGGUGUUUGGCACCUCGAUGUCGGCUCAUCACAUCCUGGGGCUGAAGUAGGUCCCAAGGGUAUGGCUGUUCGCCAUUUAAAGUGGUACGCGAGCUGGGUUUAGAACGUCGUGAGACAGUUCGGUCCCUAUCUGCCGUGGGCGCUGGAGAAUUGAGGGGGGCUGCUCCUAGUACGAGAGGACCGGAGUGGACGCAUCACUGGUGUUCGGGUUGUCAUGCCAAUGGCACUGCCCGGUAGCUAAAUGCGGAAGAGAUAAGUGCUGAAAGCAUCUAAGCACGAAACUUGCCCCGAGAUGAGUUCUCCCUGAGACUUUAAGUCUCCUGAAGGAACGUUAAAGACGAUGACGUUGAUAGGCCGGGUGUGUAAGCGCAGCGAUGCGUUGAGCUAACCGGUACUAAUGAACCGUGAGGC
rnacentral:rRNA from 1 species